rnacentral:rRNA from 1 species
UACAGAGGGGGCAAGCGUUGUUCGGAAUUAUUGGGCGUAAAGGGCGCGUAGGCGGUGCGGUAAGUCUGUAGUGAAAUCUCUGGGCUCAACUCAGAGUCUGCUAUAGAAACUGCCGUGCUCGAGUGUGGGAGAGGUGAGUGGAAUUCCCGGUGUAGCGGUGAAAUGCGCAGAUAUCAGGAGGAACACCAAUGGCGAAGGCAGCUCGCUGGAACGGUACUGACGCUGAGGCGCGAAAGCGUGGGGAGCGAACAGG